rnacentral:sRNA from 2 species
AUCUCUCCGUACGGGGAAGGAUGAGAAGCUUCGACUAAGGUUCGAUUCGAGCGAAAGCGAGAAAGCGUUGCCGCAGGCAACGACCCGAAGGGCGAAGCGCGCAGCGCUGAGUCAUCCUUCCCCCACCACCA